rnacentral:rRNA from 1 species
AGAGUUUGAUCCUGGCUCAGAACGAACGCUGGCGGCGUGCCUAACACAUGCAAGUCGAACGUGAAAGUCCUUCGGGAUGAGUAAAGUGGCGCACGGGUGAGUAAUGCGUAGAUAAUCUGCCUGGUGAUCUGGGAUAACAUCUCGAAAGGGGUGCUAAUACCGGAUAAGCCCACGGAGUCUUCGGACUUUGCGGGAAAAGGGGGGGACCUUCGGGCCUUCUGUCACCAGAUGAGUCUACGUACCAUUAGCUAGUUGGUGGGGUAAGAGCCCACCAAGGCUACGAUGGUUAGCUGGUCUGAGAGGAUGAUCAGCCACACUGGAACUGAGACACGGUCCAGACUCCUACGGGAGGCAGCAGUGGGGAAUUUUGCGCAAUGGGGGAAACCCUGACGCAGCAACGCCGCGUGAGUGAUGAAGGCCUUCGGG